rnacentral:rRNA from 1 species
UACGGAGGGAGGUAGCGUUGUUCGGGAUUACUGGGCGUAAAGCGCACGUAGGCGGAUUUUUAAGUCAGAGGUGAAAUCCCGGGGCUCAACCCCGGAACUGCCUUUGAAACUGGAGAGCUAGAAUCUGGGAGAGGUGAGUGGAAUUCCUAGUGUAGAGGUGAAAUUCGUAGAUAUUAGGAAGAACACCAGUGGCGAAGGCGGCUCGCUGGUCAGGUACUGACGCUGAGGUGCGAAAGCGUGGGGAGCAAACAUG